CCUACGGGAGGCAGCAGUGGGGGAUAUUGCACAAUGGGGGAAACCCUGAUGCAGCGACGCCGCGUGGGUGAAGAAGCGCCUCGGCGCGUAAAGCCCUGUCAGCAGGGAAGAAAAUGACGGUACCUGAAGAAGAAGCCCCGGCUAACUACGUGCCAGCAGCCGCGGUAAUACGUAGGGGGCAAGCGUUAUCCGGAUUUACUGGGCGUAAAGGGGGCGGAGACGGCGAUGCAAGCCAGGAGUGAACGCCCGGGGCCCAACCCCGGGACUGCUCUUGGAACUGCGUGGCUAGAGUGCAGGAGGGGCAGGCGGAAUGCCUGGUGUAGCGGUGAAAUGCGUAGAUAUCAGGAGGAACACCGGUGGCGAAGGCGGCCUGCUGGACUGCAACUGACGUUGAGGCCCGAAAGCGUGGGGAGCAAACAGGAUUAGAUACCCUGGUAGUC
rnacentral:rRNA from 1 species